rnacentral:rRNA from 1 species
UACGUAGGGUGCGAGCGUUGUCCGGAAUUAUUGGGCGUAAAGAGCUCGUAGGCGGUGUGUCGCGUCGGCCGUGAAAACCUGCAGCUUAACUGUGGGCUUGCGGUCGAUACGGGCAUCACUGGAGUUCGGCAGGGGAGACUGGAAUUCCUGGUGUAGCGGUGAAAUGCGCAGAUAUCAGGAGGAACACCAGUGGCGAAGGCGGGUCUCUGGACAGUUCCUGACACUGAGGCACGAAGGCCAGGGGAGCAAACGGG